rnacentral:rRNA from 1 species
UACGUAGGGGGCGAGCGUUGUCCGAAGUUACUGGGCGUAAAGAGCGCGUAGGCGGACUCUUAAGUGAGGGGUGAAAGGUUCGGGCUUAACCCGGACACUGCCUUUCAUACUGGGGGUCUUGAGUGCGGGAGAGGCGAGUGGAAUGGUCGGUGUAGCGGUGAAAUGCGUAGAUAUCUGGAGGAACACCGGUGGCGAAGGCGGCAUCCUGGACCGAGAUUGACGCUGAGGCGCGAAAGCUAGGGGAGCAAACAGG